rnacentral:rRNA from 1 species
UACGGAGGGUGCGAGCGUUGUCCGGAAUCACUGGGCGUAAAGGGCGCGUAGGCGGCCUGAUAAGUAGGGGGUGAAAUCCUGCGGCUUAACCGCAGGGCUGCCUUCUAAACUGUCAGGCUUGAGCACAGUAGAGGCAGGUGGAAUUCCCGGUGUAGCGGUGAAAUGUGUAGAGAUCGGGAGGAACACCGGUGGCGAAGGCGGGUCUCUGGGCAUUUCCUGACGCUGAGGCGCGAAAGCGUGGGGAGCAAACGGG